rnacentral:rRNA from 1 species
AGAGUUUGAUCCUGGCUCAGAUUGAACGCUGGCGGCAGGCCUAACACAUGCAAGUCGAGCGGGGUUUUCGGACCUAGCGGCGGACGGGUGAGUAAUGCGUAGGAAGCUACCCGAUAGAGGGGGAUACCAGUUGGAAACGACUGUUAAUACCGCAUAAUGUCUACGGACCAAAGUGUGGGACCUUCGGGCCACAUGCUAUCGGAUGCGCCUACGUGGGAUUAGCUAGUUGGUGGGGUAAUGGCUCACCAAGGCGACGAUCCCUAGCUGGUUUGAGAGGAUGAUCAGCCACACUGGAACUGAGACACGGUCCAGACUCCUACGGGAGGCAGCAGUGGGGAAUAUUGGACAAUGGGCGCAAGCCUGAUCCAGCCAUGCCGCGUGUGUGAAGAAGGCCUUCGGGUUGUAAAGCACUUUCAGCGAGGAGGAAGGGUUAGUAGUUAAUAGCUGCUAAUUUUGACGUUACUCGCAGAAGAAGCACCGGCUAACUCUGUGCCAGCAGCCGCGGUAAUACAGAGGGGUGCAAGCGUUAAUCGGAAUUACUGGGCGUAAAGCGCACGUA